ACUGGGAAGGAUCAAGUUCAAUUACUACACACCAUGUGUUUGAAGUUAUGCCUCAAAGACAGCACCCAAGCUGAACCAGUGGGCUAUUCCAUGAUUUUCGAAAACCCUAUACUUCUUGUUUUACUCUUAGUUUUUGAUAGCUUAAAAUAGACUCUUCAAUGAUCAUUUUGAGCUUGGUUUCAUGAAAAACGGAGUUAAAAUGAAAUACUUAUGCCAUUUUGAAAUUACUGCACUGUUUCAGAAUUUCUGCAGAAAUCAGUAUUUUCUGCUACUUUGGAUUCUUGUUUGACCACUCAUUUGAACUGCGAAUGACCUGAAAUUUUGCAAAAUAAUAGCUUUACAUGUCUUCUUCAAAUCUGGAGAGUUUUGCAUGAAAUAACUGAAGAGUAGUUGUUGGUGAAUUUUUCUUUCUUGCUACCAGUCUUCUGAAAUUUUCUCAAAUUUGCAGCAACCUUGUUACGAAACAAUCUGUUUGACAGGCCUUCACACCUUUGUCAGUCCUUGAAUUUUAGUAUAUUAAAAUAGACUGAAUAUUAACUUUCUUAUCUGGAUUUCUUGUUAACACUUAAGCACGUUUGUAGAGAAAACAACAACCAUGGGUCUAGAAGAAUGCUAUUCACAUCGAUAUUUACUUUAAAGUCAGUGCAAGAGAAUGAUAACUAUAUAUGCUGCAAUGAGAGAAAAGCCCAAAGAUUUUGCAAGUGAAAGCAUAGCAAGAGCUUAAGUUGGUUUGGGUCAAACUGAGAUUUAAGUUGAAAUUUGCUUUGAAUGUGGUAGGCACAUAUGUGAGCCAUGAUUGAACUAUUGUUGCCAUUGCUGAAGAAAGCUGCCCCUGAUACACCAGAGUAACAAGCCUCCACAAAGAAGGUUGAACAUGGUAUAUGCAAAAGUAUGGAACAACUGCAAGUUGGAGACCAGUGGAGUGGAGCGGGUCAGCCCAGUUUAUCAACUUUUGGUCUUCCUUUUGGGUACUCUUAUGAUGUAGUGGAACUAAAUGAUGAAACAAUUGUGAUGAUUUCUUAAUGAAACUAGCAGUAUUAUGUCUCCAUUGUGAUAUGUGUAAAUAAAAAGAUAAUUGAUUUCUGAA